rnacentral:rRNA from 1 species
AGUCGUACGGUAACAGCCAAGCAGCUUGCUUCUUUGCUGACGAGUGGCGGACGGGUGAGUAAUGUCUGGGAAACUGCCUGAUGGAGGGGGAUAACUACUGGAAACGGUAGCUAAUACCGCAUAACGUCGCAAGACCAAAGAGGGGGACCUUCGGGCCUCUUGCCAUCGGAUGUGCCCAGAUGGGAUUAGCUAGUAGGUGGGGUAACGGCUCACCUAGGCGACGAUCCCUAGCUGGUCUGAGAGGAUGACCAGCCACACUGGAACUGAGACACGGUCCAGACUCCUACGGGAGGCAGCAGUGGGGAAUAUUGCACAAUGGGCGCAAGCCUGAUGCAGCCAUGCCGCGUGUAUGAAGAAGGCCUUCGGGUUGUAAAGUACUUUCAGCGGGGAGGAAGGGAGUAAAGUUAAUACCUUUGCUCAUUGACGUUACCCGCAGAAGAAGCACCGGCUAACUCCGUGCCAGCAGCCGCGGUAAACGGAGGGUGCAAGCGUUAAUCGGAAUUACUGGGCGUAAAGCGCACGCAGGCGGUUUGUUAAGUCAGAUGUGAAAUCCCCGGGCUCAACCUGGGAACUGCAUCUGAUACUGGCAAGCUUGAGUCUCGUAGAGGGGGGUAGAAUUCCAGGUGUAGCGGUGAAAUGCGUAGAGAUCUGGAGGAAUACCGGUGGCGAAGGCGGCCCCCUGGACGAAGACUGACGCUCAGGUGCGAAAGCGUGGGGAGCAAACAGGAUUAGAUACCCUGGUAGUCCACGCCGUAAACGAUGUCGACUUGGAGGUUGUGCCCUUGAGGCGUGGCUUCCGGAGCUAACGCGUUAAGUCGACCGCCUGGGGAGUACGGCCGCAAGGUUAAAACUCAAAUGAAUUGACGGGGGCCCGCACAAGCGGUGGAGCAUGUGGUUUAAUUCGAUGCAACGCGAAGAACCUUACCUGGUCUUGACAUCCACGGAAGUUUUCAGAGAUGAGAAUGUGCCUUCGGGAACCGUGAGACAGGUGCUGCAUGGCUGUCGUCAGCUCGUGUUGUGAAAUGUUGGGUUAAGUCCCGCAACGAGCGCAACCCUUAUCCUUUGUUGCCAGCGGUCCGGCCGGGAACUCAAAGGAGACUGCCAGUGAUAAACUGGAGGAAGGUGGGGAUGACGUCAAGUCAUCAUGGCCCUUACGACCAGGGCUACACACGUGCUACAAUGGCGCAUACAAAGAGAAGCGACCUCGCGAGAGCAAGCGGACCUCAUAAAGUGCGUCGUAGUCCGGAUUGGAGUCUGCAACUCGACUCCAUGAAGUCGGAAUCGCUAGUAAUCGUGGAUCAGAAUGCCACGGUGAAUACGUUCCCGGGCCUUGUACACACCGCCCGUCACACCAUGGGAGUGGGUUGCAAAAGAAGUAGGUAG